GACGAACGCUGGCGGCGUGCUUAACACAUGUAAGUCGAACGGAAAGGCCCUGCUUUUGUGGGGUGCUCGAGUGGCGAACGGGUGAGUAACACGUGAGUAACCUGCCCUUGACUUUGGGAUAACUUCAGGAAACUGGGGCUAAUACCGGAUAGGAGCUCCUGCUGCAUGGUGGGGGUUGGAAAGUUUCGGCGGUUGGGGAUGGACUCGCGGCUUAUCAGCUUGUUGGUGGGGUAGUGGCUUACCAAGGCUUUGACGGGUAGCCGGCCUGAGAGAGUGACCGGCCACAUUGGGACUGAGAUACGGCCCAGACUCCUACGGGAGGCAGCAGUGGGGAAUAUUGCACAAUGGGCGGAAGCCUGAUGCAGCAACGCCGCGUGCGGGAUGACGGCCUUCGGGUUGUAAACCGCUUUCGCCUGUGACGAAGCGUGAGUGACGGUAAUGGGUAAAGAAGCACCGGCUAACUACGUG
rnacentral:rRNA from 1 species